rnacentral:tRNA from 1 species
GCUGUAGCUCAGUGGUAGAGUGCUUGCCUGGCACGUGUGAGGCACUGGGUUUGAUCCUCAGCACUGUG